rnacentral:lncRNA from 1 species
AAUGAAUUGACAAAUUAAUAAAGUAUUAUUUGGCAUUAUUCAUCAUUUCAUUGUACAUCUUCAAAUGAACUUUUAUAUGAUGAAGUCCUUAGGACUUGUUUUAUGAUAAAGGAGGAUUUAUCUUCAAGUCCUUAAAACUGUUCGCGAUCAAAUGAUAUGCUAUUACUAGGACGACAGCAUUAUCGAGAUUAGGUCAUUGUGUGACAUAUACAUUGGUUGUCCUCUUAACCAAGGAGUGUGGAGACACUGAUAUGUCACACAGGUGAAGUGU